UACAGAGGUCCCGAGCGUUGUUCGGAUUCACUGGGCGUAAAGGGUGCGUAGGUGGUGAGGAAAGUCGGACGUGAAAUCUCCGGGCUUAACCCGGAAAUGGCAUUGGAAACUACCUUGCUAGAGGUUUUGAGGGGGGACUGGAAUUCUCGGUGUAGCAGUGAAAUGCGUAGAUAUCGAGAGGAACACCGGUGGCGAAGGCGAGUCCCUGGAAAACACCUGACACUGAGGCACGAAAGCUAGGGGAGCAAACAGG
rnacentral:rRNA from 1 species